GCCCUGUGCUGCCUGGCUGAUGGUGGAUGCUGCUGUGCUCUCAUUGUGUGCUGGUGGGGGCUCUCGGACCCCAUCCGUCCCCACGUCCCCAGCGGCUGGCGGCACGGUGCUGGGUGCUGGCUCGCUGCGUCGCACCGAAGUGCAGUGGAUGAUGAGUGGGGAUGGAGGUUUGGGCUCCACGGUGCUUUCCCCGCUGGGGCCGGGAGCUGGGGGUCUGUGAGCAGCACCAAAGCUGAGGCUGUAGCUGCUCUUGAGCAGUUUACGCACAUCCCGUGGCUGCGGCACCAAGCUCUUCCCUUUGCUGCCUGGCUCAGCAGCGUUACCUGCAGAGGUCCUGGUUUCUGGGGUCUCUCGUGGUGCUGGUGGCGGCUUCUCCUCCCCACGGCUCUGUGGCCCCAGCCUCACAUCCUGUGCCCGGGAGGUGUAGACGCUGCGGGGCGGCACAGCAGGAGGCACCGAGCUCUUGGGCUCGAAGGGGACGAGCUGUGCCCUGCUGGGCCGGAUGGCGCGCUGCCGCAGGCUGGGCCACGGCUUCUGCGGCUUCUCAAACCUGGGGGUGACGGCCGGCACCUUCCCGUCCCCGCUGCGGCCUUCGAACAGGGCACGUGCUCGCCAGUAUGGGGUCCUCUCUGCGCAGGGCUGGGCAGCGGGCAGGCGCUGGCACUGCACCACCUCCUGGUAGCGCAUCCUCUCGUUGAGCUCGUUGAAGGUUUUCUUCAGCCUGCAGACGUUCUCCCGCGUGGCUUCGCUCAGCACCACUCCCUUGGCCGGACGGUGGGCACCAACAGGACGCAGCCCCAUGUCCACCAGCCUCACGUCCUCGGCCGAGGCGCUGAGGUCGGACUUGGACAACGAGCUGGACUUGCCCUCCAUGCCAUCCCCGAGCAGGUCGGUGCCGGCAGAGGAUGGCCCCGAGGAGGUGGAGCUGCCCCUCAGCACCUUCUGCUGCUCCAUCUUGAUGAGCUGCUCGUACUGCAUCUUCUUGGCCAGCACGUUCCUCACCAGGCUGGAGGCCAUCCUGGUCUUGCUGGCGUCGCCGUCCAAGGAGGCCGUCUUCACGAACUGCUUGUAGUUGAACCUGAAGUCCUCGCCUCCAGCCCUGCCCUUCCCCGGGGGCUCCUUCCUGGCCGGGGGCAGCGGCUGCGGGGCCAAACUGUCCCCCCACGGGAAGAACGCCGCCUCCUUCCUCUCCUUCCUCUUCAGCUGGAUCUGCCGCUUGGGGACGGUCCUCCUCUUGCCGUACCCCUUCUUGGCGUCGCCGCUCUCCAGCUCCACGUCCACACACUCGAACAGCUCCUUGGCCGGCACUCCGGGCAGCUCGGUGCCGCGGGGCUCCCCGCAGGCCGCCCACCGCCGCCCACCGCCGCCGUCCUCCGACAUCGAGUUGGAGAGGCUGGACGAGCUGCACAUGUCCAGCCGGGAGCCGGGGGGGCCCGACAGGCUGCGGAAGGACCUGGCCGUCAGCGCCCGCACUUCGCUGUCGGCCUCGUCCGAGUCGCUGGCCCCGCCGCCCCUCCGCGCCCGCCGCCCCUCGCCCAUCAUCGCCGCCGGUGCCGCCGCGCUCGGCCGCUCCACGAAGGCGACGACGGGCGGCCGGUCUCCGCGCAGGGCGCCCAUGGUCCUGCCCGGCGCCGCGCUAUUCUUAGCCGUGACCGACAGCUGGGGCUGCCGGGCGCGCUCCUCCCGCGGGCCGGAGCCGGGGCCGGGCGGUGGGGGACCCUCGGGGGGCACGUAGGGCGGCGGGGGAGUGAGGCGAACGGCAUCGUCCUCUUCCAGGAACUCCAGGCAGUCGUUGAAGGUGUCGGUGGUCUCCGAGCACCGCGCGGAGUGGUAGGAGGAGAUGGACGAGUCGGACACGCUCUUGGGGAGGUCGUCGCGGGGCAGCACGGACAGCCGCCCGUCCUCCUCCCACGGGGACCCGCGUCCGUCCGCGCCGUCGGGCAGCUCCGCGGGGCGGCCCGGGUCCCUUUUGCCGCGGGGGAUCAUGGUGGGGACGGGCCCGGAGCCGCUCGACCUUCUGCUCCGCUCGCGGCGCUGCCCGGAGCUUCGAUCACAUGCGUGACGGCGGACGCCAGCCCGGGGGGGCGAUGCCAAGAGCCGGGAGGUGCCGGGCGGUGCCGGGAUGCCGCCCCCGGCUCAGGGUCUGCCCUAAGGACCGAGCUGCCCUGA
ensembl:lncRNA